rnacentral:rRNA from 1 species
UACGUAGGUGACAAGCGUUGUCCGGAUUUACUGGGCGUAAAGAGCGCGCAGGCGGUCGAUCAAGUCGAGUGUGAAAGCCCCCGGCUCAACUGGGGAGGGUCAUUCGAUACUGAUCGACUCGAAGGCAGGAGAGGGUAGUGGAAUUCCCGGUGUAGUGGUGAAAUGCGUAGAGAUGUGGAGGAACACCGAUGGCGAAGGCGGGUCUCUGGGCCGAUACUGACGCUGAGGAGCGAAAGCGUGGGGAGCGAACAGG